AGAGUUUGAUCCUGGCUCAGGAUGAACGCUAGCGACAGGCUUAACACAUGCAAGUCGAGGGGCAUCGGGGCUGAAAGCUUGCUUUCAGCUGCCGGCGACCGGCGCACGGGUGAGUAACACGUAUGCAACCUGCCUGUGACAGAUGGAUAACCGGGAGAAAUUCCGCCUAAUACAGCAUAAAGCUUUUUGAAGACAUCUUCUUGAAGCCAAAGGAGGCAACUCCGGUCACAGAUGGGCAUGCGGCGCAUUAGGUAGUUGGUGAGGUAACGGCUCACCAAGCCGACGAUGCGUAGGGGUUCUGAGAGGAAGGUCCCCCACAUUGGAACUGAGACACGGUCCAAACUCCUACGGGAGGCAGCAGUGAGGAAUAUUGGUCAAUGGCCGAAAGGCUGAACCAGCCAAGUCGCGUGAGGGAAUAAGGCCCUACGGGUCGUAAACCUCUCUUGCCGGGGAGCAAGAUUCUCUACGUGUAGAGAAUCGGAGAGUACCCGGAGAAAAAGCAUCGGCUAACUCCGUGCCAGCAGCCGCGGUAAUACGGAGGAUGCGAGCGUUAUCCGGAUUUAUUGGGUUUAAAGGGUGCGUAGGCGGAUUCUCAAGUCAGCGGUCAAAACCCGGGGCUCAACCCCGGCCUGCCGUUGAAACUGGGAAUCUUGAGUGAGCGAGAAGUAAGCGGAACGCGUGGUGUAGCGGUGAAAUGCAUAGAUAUCACGCAGAACCCCGAUUGCGAAGGCAGCUUACCGGCGCUCAACUGACGCUGAGGCACGAAAGUGCGGGGAUCAAACAGGAUUAGAUACCCUGGUAGUCCGCACAGUAAACGAUGAAUGCUAAUUGUUCGGAGGGAAUGACCUCUGAGUGAUACAGUGAAAACGUUAAGCAUUCCACCUGGGGAGUACGCCGGCAACGGUGAAACUCAAAGGAAUUGACGGGGGCCCGCACAAGCGGAGGAACAUGUGGUUUAAUUCGAAGCAACGCGAAGAACCUUACCAGGUCUUGACAUCCCGAUGCUAUUUCUAGAGAUAGAAAGUUUCUUCGGAACAUCGGUGACGGGUGGUGCAUGGUUGUCGUCAGCUCGUGUCGUGAGAUGUUGGGUUAAGUCCCGCAACGAGCGCAACCCCUAUUGUUAGUUGCCAUCAUUGAGUUGGGCACUCUAGCGAGACUGCCGGUAAUAAACCGGAGGAAGGUGGGGAUGACGUCAAAUCAUCAUGCCCCUUAUGACCUGGGCUACACACGUGCUACAAUGGUUGGUACAACGAGUCGCAAGUCGGUGAUGGCAAGCAAAUCUCUUAAAGCCAAUCUCAGUUCGGAUUGUAGGCUGCAACUCGCCUACAUGAAGUCGGAAUCGCUAGUAAUCGCGGAUCAGCACGCCGCGGUGAAUACGUUCCCGGGCCUUGUACACACCGCCCGUCAAG
rnacentral:rRNA from 1 species